CCGAUUGUCGAUUUGGAGGCUCUAUUAUCGAAAACAAAAUAGGUGGCAACGGUACCCAUUUGCUAUUGAUAACGUUCCAGCUCAACUUAUAUAGGGUUGAGCAUAUAUAGAGUCCACCUGGGGUGCUUCUAAUAGCAUCAAGCGCUUAGUGUAAUAGGUUGAAAUUUGAUUAGAGGCUAAUUGUGAUCAAAGUGGUCACAAUAAUGCUAAAAUGGAAAUGAAGUGUUUCUGAAUUUAAUUAGUAGCUUGAGAACAGCAAGUGACAGGUUUUGGAAAUUUGAGAAUAGAUAAGAAUGGAAUUGGAGUGGCUAAAGACCUCCAAUUGCUAUUGCUACUCUAAAGCUGAAAUUUUUAGUCGAUUUGGUCAAAAUGAUCAAAUUAAUACAAAAUUGAAAAUUAAUUGCUUUCAAAUUAAUUUGAUAACUUGUGGAAGUGUGUUAGUACGUCUUGGAAGUGUUUAAGUGGUCUCGGAAUGAAUUAGAUGCGUGACAAAGGCUUCAAAUUGCUGCUGCCAGGUUCUGGUUAGUGCAGGGACUGCAUUGUAAGUCUGCAGGGACUAAACUGCGAACUAUAGGGACUGAAUUGUAAACCUGUAGGUUACAAUGCAAUUUCAGCAUUUAGGAGGGUUAAGUAGCAAUUUUUCAGUCUUAUCCCUUAAUCCCAGUUAAUCUGAAGGUGAACACGUAUUGGAACACCCCUCCACCAGCUUGUUCUUAUCCCUUUUUCUCCUCUCUUUUUCUCUCAGCCUUAGGAGCAGAGUAGUGAAGAAAAGGCUUCAGGGAGUUGAAUUGUUGCUGUUGGAGGUAAGCAAAACCUGGUGGGAGUUGCAAGAAAGGUCAUUGAAGCUGAGAAUAACCAGAGAAAGUACUUAAUCGAGGUAAGCUUAAUUGAUAUUUGAUUGUAACCAAGUUAGUUACCUUAGAGAAGAUAUUGAUGAAGACUUCAUUGCUGUCAGAACUAGUAACUUGGUGAAUUAAUGGGCUGAGUAGAGCUACCUUGUGGAGCCCUUGAGGAUCUGAGCUGAGAGAG
rnacentral:lncRNA from 1 species